rnacentral:tRNA from 1 species
GGGGCUGUAGCUUAGUGGCAGAGCGCUUGCCUAGCAUGCGUGAGGCACUAGGUUCGAUCCUUAGCACUCCA